rfam:Salmo salar isolate Sally breed double haploid chromosome ssa24, whole genome shotgun sequence.
AGCAUGAUACAUUGUAAGUCGCUCUGGAUAAGAGCGUCUGCUAAAUGACUUAAA